GUGUUGACAAAGGUAUACACGUAGAAGUUGUUCCUAGGUCACGGUAAGUCGUAACAAGGUAACCGUAUUAGUUUGAUAUCAUGGCUCAGGAUGAACGCUGGCGGCGUGCCUAAUACAUGCAAGUCGAGCGAACAGACGAGGAGCUUGSUCCUCUGACGUUAGCGGCGGACGGGUGAGUAACACGUGGAUAACCUACCUAUAAGACUGGGAUAACUUCGGGAAACCGGAGCUAAUACCGGAUAAUAUAUUGAACCGCAUGGUUCAAUAGUGAAAGACGGUUUUGCUGUCACUUAUAGAUGGAUCCGCGCCGCAUUAGCUAGUUGGUAAGGUAACGGCUUACCAAGGCAACGAUGCGUAGCCGACCUGAGAGGGUGAUCGGCCACACUGGAACUGAGACACGGUCCAGACUCCUACGGGAGGCAGCAGUAGGGAAUCUUCCGCAAUGGGCGAAAGCCUGACGGAGCAACGCCGCGUGAGUGAUGAAGGUCUUCGGAUCGUAAAACUCUGUUAUUAGGGAAGAACAAAUGUGUAAGUAACUAUGCACGUCUUGACGGUACCUAAUCAGAAAGCCACGGCUAACUACGUGCCAGCAGCCGCGGUAAUACGUAGGUGGCAAGCGUUAUCCGGAAUUAUUGGGCGUAAAGCGCGCGUAGGCGGUUUUUUAAGUCUGAUGUGAAAGCCCACGGCUCAACCGUGGAGGGUCAUUGGAAACUGGAAAACUUGAGUGCAGAAGAGGAAAGUGGAAUUCCAUGUGUAGCGGUGAAAUGCGCAGAGAUAUGGAGGAACACCAGUGGCGAAG
rnacentral:rRNA from 1 species